UACGGGGGGGGCAAGCGUUGUUCGGAAUUACUGGGCGUAAAGGGCUCGUAGGCGGCCAACUAAGUCAGACGUGAAAUCCCUCGGCUUAACUGGGGAACUGCGUCUGAGACUGGAUGGCUUGAGUGCAGGAGAGGAACGCGGAAUUCCAGGUGUAGCGGUGAAAUGCGUAGAUAUCUGGAGGAACACCGGUGGCGAAGGCGGCGUUCUGGACUGCAACUGACACUGAGGAACGAAGGCCAGGGGAGCAAACGGG
rnacentral:rRNA from 1 species